rnacentral:tRNA from 1 species
GUGAUUGUAGCUCAGUUGGUUAGAGCACCAGAUUGUGGUUCUGGGGGUCGCCGGUUCGAACCCGGUCAUUCACC